AUUAUGCUAAGUGAAGUAAGCUAGUCAGACAAAGACAAAUACCAUAUGAUUUCACUCAUAUGUGGAAUCUAAUGCACAAGCUGAACUGACAAGGAAAAUGGGGACAGACUCAUAGGUGGAGAGCAGGAAGACAGCUAGUGGAGGGGGGAGGGAAAUGAGCGGAGGGAU